rnacentral:lncRNA from 1 species
GGUAACCAUAUGUCUGAAGGAGCCAGCAGAUCUGGAAACAAGGAGAAGACAUUCCGUUGAAGGGUCAGUCCAGAGAGGAACCUAGAAACUGGCCUGGAAGCGGAGUCUACAGGUAUUGAGAGGAGUUUUCCGAGCACAUUGGCAUGCCAAAUAGAAAAAGCAGACGCUCUGGAGGGAUGAGAAGAUAAGGAGUGACCAGAGGGGCACAAAGAGCAAGAGAAACUGUGAUUUGCUGCAGAUUCCGGAAUCCAUCUUCCCACCGUGGGACAGGACUUGUCACAAAUAGCUUGGAUUUAUGGAUGCGCUUCUGCUGCAGAAAUCGUUUCACCUUUUGAGGUUUUCUAUAAGAAUUUCAACUUCCUGGUUUCCACUUCUGAGAUCCACCUUUUAAAAAAGUAAAUCAUUAAUUGAUCUUCCGGUGUUUGGACCAUGCCCAUGGCAGCAUUGUGGAGCAUGUAGGUGAACGCUACAGUUUAGAGGCAAUUCAGAAGCAAUUCAAUCAACUUAUCUCUUUAAACACACUCCUACAC